CACAGCACUUCAUCUUAGCGCCGGCAUUUCAAACCCUACCUCUCCUCCACCUCGCUGAUUCCGCAGCUAACCGCGACAAACGUCACCGGCAACGGAGACACCGACUUCAAACAACGCAAAAUCGGUAGCUUCUACAUCUUCUCACCGAUUGUUCAAACCUAAAACCAUCCCCAAUUCCGUAAACACCACAAAAUAAAAAAAAAAACUAAAUCGAUCUCCAACUUUUAUGCCAUUCUCCGACAGAAUCGAAGAAAUCUACCCUGUGUUCGCAUGAUCUGUGUUCAGGUGCUGUCAAUUCACCAUCUCAAACACCAAUUCUCCGACGAAGCCCUAAAUCUCUCAAAUCUCGCCGUUACUCCGAUAGAAUUAGAGAAAUCCAAGUCGUCUACGACUUACUUUUCACUCCUGCUCUCAAACUCACGGCCUCAAACACAGUCCAGCAACGGAACCAUAAUUACUCGAAACUCACGCCUGGACAAACGACCACGGAAAAACAGAUGCCGCAAAACGGAGACGAAAUGCUCACCAACACCAGAAAAGGGACAAAUUGCAGAGGAAGUAAAUAAUGGAUAAAAAACAACAUUAUUUCAUAAUUGUAUUAUUAUAUUUAAUUUUCCUUAAACAAAACACAAAUUUCAUAGAUAUUUUUAAGUUGAUACUCAUUAUAGGUUUUAAA